rnacentral:rRNA from 1 species
UACGUAGGGUGCAAGCGUUAUUCGGAAUUACUGGGCGUAAAGCGUGCGCAGGCGGUUAUGUAAGACAGUUGUGAAAUCCCCGGGCUCAACCUGGGAACUGCAUCUGUGACUGCCUAGCUAGAGUACGGUAGAGGGGGAUGGAAUUCCGCGUGUAGCGGUGAAAUGCGUAGAUAUGCGGAGGAACACCGAUGGCGAAGGCAAUCCCCUGGACCUGUACUGACGCUCAUGCACGAAAGCGUGGGGAGCAAACAGG